CCCACAAAAAUAAGAACAAUGUCAACUUUGAAUUCACACAAAUAAAGGGAACACGCCAAAUCAAACAAUCCCUAACCACAAAGAACCACAGAAAAAAGCUUCUCUAUACAUAAUCUUUACCUCCGUUCAUGUGUUGGAUUGUGCAAUGUUUUCGGCAACUAAGAUAUCACAAUGAUAAGGAGUUAAUUAUCGAAAUUCUUCUUAGAACGUAUCUAUGAAAACGUUCAAAAAUAUAUGGACAAUUUUCCACCAAACCACCCCCUGGAAAAUUAAAUGUGCUCGUCAAGGACAUGCCACCCCCUCCCCCCCAGGACAGAGCACAUCAGCGCCCUCUUCUGGGUGAACAAUGAGACUUCAGGUUGCUGUCCUGACUGAAAGCUGUCACUAAAGCUCAAAGGACAUUUUUGACAUAGUCACAAAGUUGAAACUUACACAGUGCCGAGCUGCCUGCUCCUGCUGU